UACAAUUAAGAGCAAGUCUCGUUCAAUUAAACAUCUAAAUCGAUCAAAUGUCAUUGCUAAUAAUUAUUUUUCCUUUCCUUUAAGAUUGCUAAUGUAAAUCUAUCCACUAACAUCUAUAACAUCGGACACCUAACAAAUGUUUAAAAAAAAAAAAAAAAGGAUUAAAGGGAAAUCGAGGGAACAUGGCUUCUCCAAAAAGCUUGAAGGGAGAAGCUUCUGCUAAAUUUUUAUUGUCUUGACUCAAAACAAACGUUAAAAACCCUCCAAUCUCAAAACGUAAACUCUCCAAUCUUAAGACUUAAACCCUCCAAUCUCAUGCUACUAUAGCUGCCUUACUCUUCUCUUCAGUAUUGUUGAAAUAAAUUGAAGCUAUCCAGAUGCUUCCCAGAGACGGACGUAGCCACUGGAUGAAGCGAGAAGAUCCGAGGAGGAAGAGGAAGGGGUUUUCGGUUAGGUAAUUUUCCUUUAACCAUUUUUAUUUUCUUUGCAUGUUUUAUAUAUUCUUUUUGUUUUGCUUUGCAUGCAAUUCUUAUAGGAAAAAGAAUGGGUUGUGUAGAUCGUUUGUGAGGUUUGUUCUUCCGGUCUUUUAACAUUAUUUGACCACUUUUCGGAGUGUUCAAUUAGCAACUUUUAUGAAAAUUUUUCAUUUUAUUUACAAUGGUUUCUUGACUUUGCAUGUGACCAAUUCCUAGUCGUGCAUGCCGAAUUUUUUUCCGUGUUUGUUUGCUGCGAAAAUCAUGGAAGAGGAAGAGAGUUAGGAAUUUCUAAUAGUAUUAUUAUUAUUAUUUUUUUUUGGUUGUCAAAAGUUGGCAAUAGCUUAGUUGAAACGUUGGUUUCAAGUAUUUUCUCCGUAUUUACCAUUUCACUAUUUUGACCAGUUGAUUUCUGUGGUCAAAUUAUUCAAUGAAUAUGUUUUAAACUGUUUUAUUGUAUUUAAGUUCCCAUUUCAAUCUCCGAUGAGGCCUUGGCUUAUUGUUAAGAAAAAGGUCUUAAAAUCUUGAGCUUCUAGGUUUAAGUCUCAACGAGUGUGGAUUUGGAUGUUUAGAUAUGAUAUAAUUUGUUAGUUUAUUAGAUAUGAUGUAAUAUAUGAUUAUGAGUGUAACUUAAAAAAAAGUUACCUUUUCAAUCUGAUGAUUAUGUGUUCUUUUGCUUAAUUGUAGGAAUAUGUGUAUAAAAGGCUUUAGUUCAGGUACAGUCAUCAGAAAUUUCCCACAUUUUGUUUAUAAUAUGUAUUUCUUGAAAUAUGCCAGCUUCCACAUGUAUACUUGGAUUUUUAUUGACUUAAAUCUUGCAAAUGUUCUAGCUAUGGAUGCUAUUUUACUUUUGUCCAAGGAUUUGUUUACCUGAUAUUGAUACGGCUUCAAGGCUUCACUAUGAAGCAAAUGGUCAAUCCACGGAAAACAUAUGUAAAACUAUCUGCUAUUCUCAUGGGUUCUCAUGGAUUAAUAAAGGGUUCACUGGCCUACCUUAACUACCCUGCACAAAUUAUGUUUAAAUCUACAAAGGUAACAAGUCAAAAACUGUGUAUAUUGUUCUUUCUGAAGCUAUUGUAACAUUCUGCAACGUAAUGCUCUCUUUUGUUGUGUUAAUUCUGACAAUAUUGUCAAGAAUUUUAGGUGCUGCCAGUUAUGAUCAUGGGUGCCUUCAUCCCUAGCUUGAGAAGGAAAUACCCAUUUCAUGAAUACAUCUCUACUAUGCUUCUUAUGGUUGGCCUCAUCAUCUCAAAAUUUUAGCAUCAUUGGUGUUAUAAUGAUUUUGGGUGCUUUAAUUAUGGUUGCUUUUCUAGGUAAUUUUCUGGAAGCAAUUUUCACCAUGAAUCCGGACACAACCCAGAUGGAGAUGUUGUUCUACUUAACGUUUUUUCCUAUGUCAAGACAUUCUUUAAUUUUAUUUACCAAAUUAAGACAUGUUCUUGUGGAACCGCCUGCAAUUUUAUCCACUGUUUCCCAAACCUUGGUGAAGACUAUAAAUGGGCAGAUUUGGACAAACCACCCCCAAGAUAUUGGGUGAAAAAGAUGGCUGCUUUAUUUGGAUAUGCUGAUAAGGCUAGGUCUGAGAAAGAUAGAACAAGAGCAUUCAGGGCAGUCAAGAAACCCUAGCUGGAUGGUAAAAUCAGAUGAUGACAGGUAUGCAGUUUUAAUUGUAGUUGCAACUCAACUACUACUUUUGGUUUUGGUAUAUUACCAUAUGCUUUGUGUUGGUCUUGCCCAUUACUAAUUAAAAUUCUUACAUGUUAAUUGUCGUAAAAUGUUUGGAUUUUAAAUUUUCUUUUAAAAGCUUUUGGAAAUAUAAAUUAUAAAACAAUUUUGUCAUUUAUCGAAAUGAUUCACGCCCUCUUGAAGAGACCUUUUUUCCACUAUAUGCAAGUUCAGGCUUCAAAGUGGAAUGAAAGAGCAUAUGUUAGUUGUAGGAAAGCUAAACUUAAUCACGAAGACCUUCGCAUGGCUGUAUUAAUUCAAGAAGUCAUUUGUGGUGAUUAUGCUUUUGUUAUUCGCACAAAAAAACUCAUUAUCAGGAGGCACCUCAAAAAUAUAUGUAGAGGUAAGCCUCCUUUUUUGGUUCUAUAUGAACUUAGUGAUCUUAUAAGUAUUUUUCAUCUAUCUUCUUGGGUUGAAAACAGAUUGUGACAGUUUUGGGAAAGACAUUGGUGGGUGCAUAUCCAGGAUACGCUUUGAGUUUCAUUAUGAAAAAGAACAACCUAAGAUGUCCAAUUGUAAAGCAGUUUCUUUGCAUCUCUUAUUCGUCGAUACAUUCUCCAUUUCACAACUAACUCAUAUUACUAUAGUGUCAUCUUCUGUGUGAAUCUACUAAUUUUGAAGGCAAAUCUAUGUUAUAGUUGCUAACAUUAUUUUGAUUUAAUUCAAAUAAUACAUAUAUAUUUUUAUUAGUUUCAAGGUUCUUCUGGAUGGAUGUUGAGUGUGGUAGGAGCUGCACUGGCCGCCUAUCCAAAUGGAGCCUGGAUUAUGGUGAUUUAAUACAUUGUCACAACCUUUUUAUAAUGUCUAAUUACCAAUUUUCCCUUAAUGAUUCUUCCUAUGCCAGGUGCUAAGAAUUAGAUUUGUUACUUAUGUUUACUUCUGCAGUGGAUGCAGCACUGGUCAUUCAUUGGAGGAAGCUGGGAUAUUUUGGAAUCUAUUAAUGAUAGUUUCUUUUUUAUUGCAAGCAGCUGAUAUUGAGCUUAAGAUUCUUGGUUUUCUUACUGAAAUCUAAGUAGCUAACCAUUUCCAAUUUCUAUAUAAUGCAUUUAUGUAACAUGUGAUAUUUAAUCAUUUGCAAGAAGUAAUCUUUUUGGAUGCCGCACAGCGAUUAAAAGUUUGAUGUUUACUGUUGGAAAGUCCCUGCAUUUUAUUGGUCAAAUUGUAACUUAAAAGGUUGAGAAAAUUGUGUGAGUGCAUGCAUUGUAUUAAAGAAUAUUUUCUUGCAUUGGUUGCAGGGUGGUUCAAUAGAUCUAUUUGUUGUAAAUUCCUAUGGUUCUUCAUUUCAAGUAAGUACUAUGUAUUGAGUUACAGUAUUAGGUUUUGUGGCAAUUUUUACUUAAAGUCUCCUUUUAAUGGUCGUAUUAUUUUGGAUCUUGGUUGGAUGUUAAUGUGAUUAUACCAUGUUUAGUGCAGGCAUUGUUCAUUUGCCUACUACUCUACCCUUUUUAUCAAAACUUUGGGGCAUUCCAUUUAGGCAGCUUCCAAAGUAUCUUAAAGAUGGUAUAGCUUGCUAGUGGUAAGCCGUCAUAAUUGUUUCAUUAUCUUCUAUCUAUUGUAAGGUCAACCGAUUCCAUUAUGAGCAGUGUAGGCAAGGAUUGCAUUUCAAAUGGAAGGCAUAGUGUGCCAUGAAUUUGCCCAUAAAUUGCACGUCAUACAUCAUGCAAG